rnacentral:rRNA from 1 species
UCAGACGAUGCGUCAUGCAUAUCAAUAAGCGGAGGAAAAGAAACUAACAAGGAUUCCCCUUAGUAACGGCGAGUGAAGCGGGAAGAGCUCAAAUUUGAAAUCUUCAAGGUUUUACCUUGACGAAUUGUAGUUUAAAGAAGUGUUUUCUGCUGAAGUUUUGGUAAAAGUUCUUUGGAAUAGGACAUCAUAGAGGGUGAGAAUCCCGUAUUUGACCAUUAUUUUCAGCUUUGUGAUACACUUUCAAAGAGUCGGAUUGUUUGGGAAUGCAGUCCAAAAUGGGUGGUAAAUUUCAUCUAAAGCUAAAUAUUGGCGAGAGACCGAUAGCGAACAAGUACCGUGAGGGAAAGAUGAAAAGAACUUUGAAAAGAGAGUUAAAUAGUACGUGAAAUUGUCAAAAGGGAAGCGUUUGACACCAGUGUUGUUUUCUGAAAAUCAACCUCUGUUAGCUUUAUGCAUGUUUGUUUAGACCUAAUCAGCUAUCUUGCAUGUUCUAUUGUUUGCAGUGGUGCACUUUUCAGUUUACAGGUCAACAUCAGUUUUUUUUACCGUAAAAAAGUUAAAGAAAGGUAGCUCAUGGCUCCGGUCGUGAGUGUUAUAGUCUUUUUCCUAUGCGGUAGGAGAGACUGAGGUCUGCAGUGUAGGCUAUUUGGCUAGAUACUCAGGUGCUAUGUGAUACCAUUUCAUAAACAACUUGUUGAUUAUGUCUUGUCUAUUGCAUACUCGCUUGUACUAUCAUACCUACGCUUAGGAUGUUGACUGAUAUGUAGUCGU